rnacentral:rRNA from 1 species
UACGUAGGGUGCGAGCGUUAAUCGGAAUUACUGGGCGUAAAGCGUGCGCAGGCGAUUACAUAAGACAGAUGUGAAAUCCCCGGGCUUAACCUGGGAACUGCGUUUGUGACUGUGUGACUAGAGUACGGCAGAGGGGGGUGGAAUUCCUGGUGUAGCAGUGAAAUGCGUAGAUAUCAGGAGGAACAUCGAUGGCGAAGGCAGCCCCCUGGGCCUGUACUGACGCUCAUGCACGAAAGCGUGGGGAGCAAACAGG